rnacentral:rRNA from 1 species
UGGGGAUAUUGCACAAUGGGGCGAAAGCCUGAUGCAGCAACGCCGCGUGAGGGAAGACGGUUUUCGGAUUGUAAACCUCUGUUCUAAGUGACGAAAAAAUGACGGUAGCUUAGGAGAAAGCCCCGGCUAACUACGUGCCAGCAGCCGCGGUAAUACGUAGGGGGCAAGCGUUGUCCGGAAUUACUGGGUGUAAAGGGAGCGCAGGCGGAGAAGCAAGUCAGUGGUGAAAACGAUGGGCUUAACCCAUCGACUGCCAUUGAAACUGUUUCCCUUGAGUGAAGUAGAGGAGCGG